rnacentral:rRNA from 2 species
UGGGGAAUAUUGCACAAUGGGCGCAAGCCUGAUGCAGCGACGCCGCGUGAGGGAUGACGGCCUUCGGGUUGUAAACCUCUUUCAGUACCGACGAAGCGCAAGUGACGGUAGGUACAGAAGAAGCACCGGCCAACUACGUGCCAGCAGCCGCGGUAAUACGUAGGGUGCGAGCGUUGUCCGGAAUUACUGGGCGUAAAGAGCUCGUAGGCGGUUUGUCGCGUCGUCUGUGAAAACCCGCAGCUCAACUGCGGGCUUGCAGGCGAUACGGGCAGACUUGAGUACUGCAGGGGAGACUGGAAUUCCUGGUGUAGCGGUGAAAUGCGCAGAUAUCAGGAGGAACACCGGUGGCGAAGGCGGGUCUCUGGGCAGUAACUGACGCUGAGGAGCGAAAGCGUGGGUAGCGAACAGG